AACAUUAUAAAAGCGCCAGGACUUAUCCCGAGCGGUGGGGUAAGUUGACGAGGUGGAGGUUUAUCGAACCAUUCGGCGGAUGCCUCCCGAUUGCACACAUCUCAGUCGUCAUGUUUUAGAGCCGAAAGCAGAGAGGCGACUCUUUGGAUAAGGACAAAACAAGAUGUGAAA
rnacentral:ncRNA from 1 species